rnacentral:rRNA from 1 species
UACGUAGGGAGCAAGCGUUGUCCGGAAUCAUUGGGCGUAAAAGCGCGCGUAGGCGGCCUCAUAAGUCCGUUGUGAAAGUCAAAGGCUCAACCUUUGAAAGCCGAUGGAUACUGUGAGGCUAGAGUCCGGAAGAGGCGAGUGGAAUUCCUGGUGUAGCGGUGGAAUGCGCAGAUAUCAGGAGGAACACCAAUAGCGAAGGCAGCUCGCUGGGACGGUACUGACGCUAAGGCGCGAAAGCGUGGGGAGCGAACAGG